UACGAAGGGGGCUAGCGUUGCUCGGAAUCACUGGGCGUAAAGCGCACGUAGGCGGCUUUCUAAGUCAGGGGUGAAAUCCUGGAGCUCAACUCCAGAACUGCCUUUGAUACUGGGAAGCUCGAGUCCGGGAGAGGUGAGUGGAACUCCGAGUGUAGAGGUGAAAUUCGUAGAUAUUCGGAAGAACACCAGUGGCGAAGGCGGCUCACUGGCCCGGUACUGACGCUGAGGUGCGAAGGCGUGGGGAGCAAACAGG
rnacentral:rRNA from 1 species